rnacentral:rRNA from 1 species
AAUGAACGCUGGCGGCAUGCCUAAUACAUGCAAGUCGAGCGGUUGUUCGCUCGCGACCGUUUCGGCGAGAUGCGGACGGGUAAUGAAUUCGUCGGAAGUUGCCCUUUGGUGGGGUAUAACGUAGGGGAAGAUACCCUAAUACCACAUACGCUCUUCGGGCGUAAGUGUUUGUCCCGCAUGCCAUACGCAUAAAGGUGACUCUACGACGUAUUAGCUAGUUGGUGGGGUAAUGGCUCACCAAGGCGACGAUCGAUAGCUGGUCUGAGAGGAUGAUCAGCCACACUGGGACUGAGACACGGCCCAGACUCCUACGGGAGGCAGCAGUGGGGAAUAUUGGACAAUGGGCGCAAGCCUGAUCCAGCCAUGCCGCGUGUGUGAAGAAGGCCUUCGGGUUGUAAAGCACUUUUGUCCGGAAAGAAAUCCCUGGAGCUAAUACCUUCGGGGGAUGACGGUACCGGAAGAAUAAGCACCGGCUAACUUCGUG